AUUGAACGCUGGCGGCAGGCUUAACACAUGCAAGUCGAGCGGGGUGAUGGUGCUUGCACUAUCACUUAGCGGCGGACGGGUGAGUAAUGCUUAGGAAUCUGCCUAUUAGUGGGGGACAACAUCCCGAAAGGGAUGCUAAUACCGCAUACGUCCUACGGGAGAAAGCAGGGGAUCACUUGUGACCUUGCGCUAAUAGGUGAGCCUAAGUCGGAUUAGCUAGUUGGUGGGGUAAAGGCCUACCAAGGCGACGAUCUGUAGCGGGUCUGAGAGGAUGAUCCGCCACACUGGGACUGAGACACGGCCCAGACUCCUACGGGAGGCAGCAGUGGGGAAUAUUGGACAAUGGGGGGAACCCUGAUCCAGCCAUGCCGCGUGUGUGAAGAAGGCCUUAUGGUUGUAAAGCACUUUAAGCGAGGAGAAGGCUCUUUUGGUUAAUACCCAAGAUGAGUGGACGUUACUCGCAGAAUAAGCACCGGCUAACUCUGUGCCAGCAGCCGCCGUAA
rnacentral:rRNA from 1 species